GACGAACGCUGGCGGCGUGCUUAACACAUGCAAGUCGAACGGAAAGGCCCUGCUUGCAGGGUGCUCGAGUGGCGAACGGGUGAGUAACACGUGGGUGAUCUGCCCCUUACUUUGGGAUAAGCCUGGGAAACUGGGUCUAAUACUGGAUAGGACCAUGCUGUAGGUGGUGUGGUGGAAAGAUUAGUUUCGGUAAGGGAUGAGCUCGCGGCCUAUCAGCUUGUUGGUGGGGUAAUGGCCUACCAAGGCGUCGACGGGUAGCCGGCCUGAGAGGGUGGGCGGCGACAGGGGGACGGAGAUACGGCGCAGACGCCUAGGGGAGGCAGAAGGGGGGAGGAGUGCACGAUGGGGGGCAGGCUGAUGCUGCGACGCCGGGGGCGGGAUGACGGCCGGCGGGUGGUAAAGAGCUUGCGCCUGUGACGAAGGGGGAGGGACGGUAAUGGGUAAAGAAGCACCGGCUAACUACGUG
rnacentral:rRNA from 1 species